ACACUGCAACUGUGAUUCUCUUAUAAUUUUCAAGUUUUACUUUUAUUUAUCAUUUGACAUAUUUGUACCUUCAAUAAAAUUAAUGUAAAAAUAAAAUGAUGAUGGCUUUGAUAUUUUGGGAUCACCCCUGUUUCACAUUAUGAUUGCCCCUUCAGUUAUACUGUUGAAAAAUUUGAAUCUCAGACAUUAAUGGGUCAAGUGGUUAUAGUUGGAAGAAGUGCAAACCUGGAUUUAUUUUAAGCAAUUUUGGACAUAUCUUGUUUUAAAUGUUAGGGAGCAUAUUUUGGAAUUUUCAAAGAAAACAUUUAUCUAAGUGUGACAAGAUUCAGGAAAUGUUUGGUUGUUGUAAUUGAACCUAAAGAUCAAUGACCUGGGACAGGAAGAUAAACAAAAGAAACAUGAUAGUAAAAAGGUUCAGAGUCAGCUUGUAAGCAAGUUUGCAAGACUGUUCCAAACUACAAGAAGAUGGCAAUCCAGCUUUGCUGUGUUUUAUCAUAGUAUAUCAUUGGCAUCCAGGCAUCGAUUAAGGAAGCCAACUGUAGACCAGGAAAGGCUUCAAGGAAUAUACUACAGAAUUGUAUCCUGGAGCAUUUUCCACAUGUGACCCCUGUGAUGGUGAGGGAAAAACUAAGGGACAUUUAAAAAUCAUGAAGAGUGAACAGGAAUUCAAAAGAUAGAUAUUUGAAUACAUAAAAAUUUAACCGGAUACCAAAAAAUUAUAACUGAACAUUGAGUGUAAUAUUUACCAUUAAAGACUUCUAACUUAACUUUUCAUUUGUAGUGCAUUACUAUUUACUUCACACUAACAUUAAAUGUUUAAGUGAGUCAUGUGAUCAUUUUUUGCUCUGUAUUAUUACAAAGAAGUUUCUUAAUUCCUUAAAAGGACAAUAUAUUUGCUCUUUUCAGAAUAUUUCAUUGGAUGUUAUAUUUUCUGAUUUUCCAUGGAUAUUCUAGAAAUUUCCAAGGUUUUUGCUCAAAUAAACCUUGGAAAAUUCUCUGAUGCCCUUAAGUAAGAAUCCUCGAAAAUAUAACAGUAUUCCCAGUUGUGAGAAACUUUCCGAGGUUUUCAUUUAAAAACCUUGGAAAACAAACCACUGAAACACUUUAAAAAUCCUUGGAAAUCGUUCCAAUACUCCGAGGUCACUCAUUUUCAAAGGUUUUCUAAACAAAAUCCUCGGAAAUUAUUUUACGAGGUUUUUAUUCUGAAAUCCUUGGAAAUCGUUCCAAUACUCCGAGGUCUUACUUUUUACGAGGUUUUUUUUUAAAAAAAACUCGGAAAUGUUUUUACAAGGUUUUUCACCCUCUCCCUAUUUUUCCAAGGUUUUUUUAAUAGCAAAGUUUUGCAUUUUCUUGUUCCAAUACUCCGAGGUUUU